rnacentral:tRNA from 1 species
GGGGGUGUAGCUCAGUUGGGAGAGCGCUGCCUUUGCAAGGCAGAUGUCGUCGGUUCAAGUCCGUCCACCUCCAC